rnacentral:tRNA from 1 species
GAGUUUGUUAAGGAAGCAGCGAGAACUGCUAAUUACUCGCCACCCUGGUUCGACUCCACGGCUAACUCA